GUUAAUAUAUGAUAAGUGAUAACAAUUAAUUGGUUUCAUGAUAGUCAAUAUGAAGUUUGGUAUGAAGUUAGAUAGCUUAAGCUUUUCACGUGUACACUAAAAUUAAUUUAACUCAAUUGUAACUGCUGGUGCUUCCACUGCAUAAAUGUUAUGCCAACCAGCUGAAGUUAGGAAGGACUGUAAAAGUUCUUAAUUAUAAAGUUG
rnacentral:misc_RNA from 1 species